UUUUUGAAAUUUAAAUACAAAGACACAUUACAGUAUGUACCUUUUCUUGUUUAAUAUCUAUCCCCUAAUAUUAUUUAUUUUGUGAGGUUCAACUAUAUCUUGAAAACAAUUGACUUUCUCACUGCUAUAAACACAUUUUUAAAAGUCAUUUGGGUAGUUUCUACAAGAGAAAUUAUGAAUUGCAUUGAUAUGAAUAUUUUAGCAUGAAAAUGUUGGUUGACACAGAACUAAUACCUUCUUGAAUAUAAACAAGAAAUAGAAUUGAUAAAUUACAAGGUAAGUACACAUUUAGAUUUGGAAGAUACUACUAAACAGUUUUUCCAACUUGUAUGUAUGAUGAUAAAGAGUUUUCCAAAGUACUUUCGUUCUCUUGAUUGAAAGCUGUUAGGACUAUUUCAUAGAGAUUCCAAUAUCAUUGAAUUCUAAAGGGAAAAAGUGGAUUUCUUAUCCCUUUUCAAGAGUCUGUGCAAAAUUUUCUGCUUCAUUUCCAAGACCAAAAACAUGUCACAAGGGAUUAUUGGAAGAGGAAGACUACAAAAACAACCAGACUUUUCACUUUUCUCAGGUCAAGAGCUGCAUCCUUGCCUUGUGUUAUCAUAGUUAAGAUGCUCUCUCACUUGACUCUGCAAAUACAUGGAAUAUGUACUCAAAAGGUGAUGAAACAUCUGAGUAUCUUAAACUGGCACCAUUACAAAAGUUCUACCACAGCAGGUACCCAGAUGUAGAUGGAAUCAUCUGAUAUGUUAGAAUCUUUCCAGCCUAUAUUUAUUCUUGCCUUAUUCAGCAAAUAUCCGAGAAUAGUGUUCAGUGUGUGUCACAGAAUGUGCCAGCAUGAUUAAAUUAUUAAUAUCAAAAAUUGAAAACAAUAAUAUGGCUUAAACUAAAAACAAUUUACUUAAAAUUUUAGAUAUACAAAUUCUGUUCCAAGUUUUUCCAGGAAAAAAUAUAAUUUAUAGUCUUUCCUAUAAUGCCUGCUCUCAAUAGAAGGGAGUUCAGCAGUGUAGGGCAAGUGGAUUAGAGGAAUCAAAGAGGGGAGAGAAAGAGAAGGUACCAGGAAAGAAGACUGAGUAAAUUCUGUCAUGUGCAUAUAUGCAAAUGGCUCAAAUUGCAAAUUCCCAAUAUUAUGUAAAAUUACAAUGCACAAAUAAAAACUUUAAAAAAGCAUACUUACUUUUAAAUAAAGUUUCCUGAGAGUUAUUUUCAUUGUCUUAUUUAAAAUACUAGCAAAGGAGAAGUAACUGUAAAUAAUACAAAAUGCUAAUACCUUUAUAAGGAUUAUUUAUAUUCUAGUUUAGAAUAUUGUUUGUUCCUUUACUGGUAAAUAGGUACAUCUUUGGUUUGGCACUUCACCACAUGCCAGCCAGUAAAGCCAUGCUCUUAAUAUUCAGCAGUAAUCA
rnacentral:lncRNA from 1 species